rfam:Picea glauca, whole genome shotgun sequence.
UCCUCAGUAGCUCAGUGGUAGAGCGGUCAGCUGUUAAUUGAUUAGUCGUAGGUUCAAAUCCUACUUGGGGAG